rnacentral:rRNA from 1 species
AUUGAACGCUGGCGGCAGGCCUAACACAUGCAAGUCGAACGAGUGGCGGACGGGUGAGUAAUGUCUGGGAAACUGCCCGACGGAGGGGGAUAACUACUGGAAACGGUAGCUAAUACCGCAUACCAUCGGAUGUGCCCAGAGGGGAUUAGCUAGUCGGUGGGGGAACGGCUCACCUAGGCGACGAUGCCUAGCUGGUCUGAGAGGGUGACCCGCCACACUGGAACUGAGACACGGUCCAGACUCCUACGGGAGGCAGCAGUGGGGAAUAUUGCGCAAUGGGCGCAAGCCUGAUGCAGCCAUGCCGCGUGUAUGAAGAAGGCCUUCGGGUUGUAAAGCUCUUUCAGCGAGGAGGCGUUACUCGCAGAAGAAGCACCGGCUAACUCCGUGCCAGCCGCCGCGGUAAUUC